CUACGGGAGGCACCAGUGAGGAAUAUUGCACAAUGGGGGGAACCCUGAUGCAGCAACGCCGCGUGGAGGAUGACGCAUUUCGGUGUGUAAACUCCUUUUAUAUGUCAAGAAAAUGACGGUAGCAUAUGAAUAAGCACCGGCUAACUCCGUGCCAGCAGCCGCGGUAAUACGGAGGGUGCAAGCGUUACUCGGAAUCACUGGGCGUAAAGGACGCGUAGGCGGGUUGGAAAGUCAGGUGUGAAAUCCUAUAGCUUAACUGUAGAACUGCACUUGAAACUUCUAAUCUAGAGUAUGGAGGGGGAGAUGGAAUUAGUGGUGUAGGGGUAAAAUCCGUAGAUAUCACUAGGAAUACCUAAAGCGAAGGCGAUCUCCUGGAACAUUACUGACGCUAAGGCGUGAAAGCGUGGGGAGCAAACAGGAUUAGAUACCCGCGUAGUC
rnacentral:rRNA from 1 species